rnacentral:tRNA from 1 species
UCCCUGUUGGCUUAGACAGUAAAGCGUCUGCCUGCAAUGCGGGAGACCCGGGUUUGAUCACUGGAUUGGGAA